rnacentral:lncRNA from 1 species
UUGGUGAUGGUGAUGUGUUUGUAGAUCUUUCUUUACUGAAUAUUCUUGUUGCUACAAUUAUCUCUAUCUAUAAUGAACUUGGCCCAGUAAUUACAGUGGAAAAUAUUUCCUAAAAAUUUACAAAAAUUAACAAAAAUUUAUGAAAAUUGUUAACAAUUGACUAUAAAGAGCAAUAACUCCUUCAGGGGUCAAUUGACAAUUUUGGUUUUGUUGACUUAUUUGUAGAUCUUAUUUUGCUGAACAUUAUUGCUGUUUACAGUUUAUCUCUAUCUAUAAUAAUAUUCAAGAUAAUAACCAAAAUCUG